GCCGUCCCGCAGAUGUGCGGGGACGCGCGCCCGCCGCAACGUGAGGCUCAUAGGCCACACGCAACUCUGAGCAUUGGCCAGGACCUGUAGUAGCCAACAGGACACUUAAUAACUGAUGUAUAGGUGCGCACUGUGUGUCCAGAGCUUUACGUUAACCACCUCACUGUGUCAUCUCGCUGAGGUUGUGUGGUUUACUAUUACUGUUAUUAGCGCAUUUUUAAGCGGGAAACCUGAGGCAUGAGGAGGGUCAGUCCUCGACCUUGUCCCCCCAGAUUGCUUCGUCUCUGAAUCCAGACUCUGAAGUUCGGCUCUGCCUACCACCUUAAGUUAUCCGAUGUGGCCUUACCGUCAGCCUAGUCUUUGACUACAGGAAGACCUCUCUUCCUGAAGAAGACGCCUCUUUUCAUCCAUUCACUCUGGAAAUGAUUCAACGUCUGCCUGCUGCUGAUGCUUUACUCUCCACCAGGGGUUUUCGAAGUGUGCUUCCCCAUUCCCCCUGGGCCUAUAGCAUCAGCAUCAGGGAACUUGUCAGUAACGCACAUUCUUGGGCCCCAACCCAGAACUACUGAAUCAGAAACUUGGGGUGAGGGCCUGUCGUGGUGGCUCACGCCUGUAAUCCCAACACUUUGGGAAGCAGAGGAGGGUGGAUCACCUGAGGUCAGGAGUUGAGGAC
rnacentral:lncRNA from 1 species